UCAUCAUUUUUUUACUGUUAGUUUUUACCCCCUUCAAGUUUGGCUUUUUAAAAAUAAUAUGAAUUUUUGCAAAGUAGUCCCCAUGGCAGUGUUUUUUUGAGGACGAUCUUAAGGGUUGUACCAGGAGACAUCUUCCUGGUGGCAUUAUGGCCUAGUUGUCUUCAAUCAAACAUUCCCAUCUGCACAUGUAAAUUUGAUACAAAAGUUUGAUUAAAGUAAUUUCUAUGACAGGAAGUGUUACAUGUUCUUAACAUGAUUCCAGACUUUCAGCUCUAGCAGCUGGUCCUCAUAGAUGUUUCUCUGUCCUUAUCCAUCUGAAACUCCUGGACUUUGAAAGUUUUUCUAAAAAUACAUAGACUGGCAAAUAUAUCACCUGUGAUAAUCCUAACAGGAAUUGUUGUUUUCUUGUGAGCGUUGUACAGUUGAGGUCUAGUUGAGGCCAUUCUCACUGGCUCCUGGGUUUUCUGCUGAUAAAGUUGUUCCUCUCCACACCCUCAUCGCUGCAGGCAGGGAGGUGCAGCCUAGGUUUCACAGUCGUCCUCAGGAGGGUGUACUCUGGUUUGCAGCCUAGGUUUCACAGUCGUCCUCAGGAGGGUGUACUCUGGUUUGCAGCCUAGGUUUCACAGUCGUCCUCAGGAGGGUGUACUCUGGUUUGCAGCCUAGGCUUCACAGCCCUCCUCAGGAGGGUGUACUCUGGUUUGCUUCGGUUGCACUGAGCACAUCACAGCUUUUAUGAUAGACCGUCUAUCAAGUUAAAAAUCCCAAGUAUAAUUAACAUUUGUUUGUCCUAAUGGGAAGUUACUACUUCUGAGUGUGAGUCCAUUUUGUUUUCAGAGGUAGGUAGGUGUGUGUGUGUACAUUUGCUUUCAGACUCCAGCAUUGUUUUAGGAAAGAAUCUGUUGCUGACUUGAGGUGUAGGAUUGUGGGACCUUGGUUUCAGGUAGAGAACUUUACACCAAAAUCUUCUGUAUUGAAGGUUUUUUUUGCUUUGUGCAAGUACACCAUAAGUAGUAAAAAUGCUAAUCUCUUUUUAUGGUGAAGUUAGGGCUGCACUUUUGUGCACAUGAUAAUUUACUCUUAAUUUCCUUACUACACAGAGGAAGGAUGUUUGUUAGCGAAGGAUUUGGGGAGAUGAUUGUUCAGUGUUUGGGGAUGGUACGGAAGCACCAUUGGACUGGGGAACAAGGCACACCAACAUUGCCAGACCUCACUGGGCCACAGCUUCUUUUGUAUUUCUAAUAUAGCCGCACAAGGAUCUCAGAGUCUGAGUCAGGGCAGUUUUCUAACCCGCCCCUCCUCUCCAUCCUCUCCUCCUGUACACGUCUCUGGCUUGGAACAAAUCUUGUCUAAUGUGCAUGGUUGUUAGGCUCCCUAAAGCUCCUAGAAAAUUGGGUGCAUUUGGCAUUUGGUCUUCACAACUUCACUGGAUGAGUAGAAAGAUUCCAUGAUCUCCAAGAGUUUGGUAGGCACUGAUUGUAAGUGUCCUGUUUGGAGUGAGUACAUGAAGCAAAUCAAAAUUGAUACACUUAAGCAGUGACUUUGGUAUGCCUAGCACUAAGAACAGUGAGUCUCCCUGCAUGCUUCUCGUUACCUCACAGGGGGGAGGUCAGGAGAGAUCAGUGCUUCCAUAAGGGAGGUGGAGAUAGGUAAGCAAGCAGCUUUUAAUGUGGGGCUCUUCGCUUCUCAUUAUCUGUGUCUAUAACUUUUAAAUCAAAAUCUGAAAAUGGAAGGUUUAGAAUUUGAUAUAACAGUGGAAACUAUUUUAUUAAAGUAAAUACUUUAAACUAACAUGGAAUAGUCUAGUUCCAGUUAACAGAAGGAAAAUCUUGUGUGUGACUUCAGUCAGACAUCUGGAAACAUGCUGGGCCUUGUGGCACUGUGUUCCAAGAACUCGGGAGGCUGAGGUCCAAGGAUCUUGAGUUGGAAGCCAGCCUGAGCUACGUAGUGAGUCCCUGUCUCACUCUUGAAAAAAGAUGGUCACGUAAAUCUUGACCUUUCAGAGAAAUGAGUUUUGGUUUUCUUCUUGUUACAAUGGUUUAAUAUGAAAAUGUCCUUGACAUCAUUUUUACAUUGUAGUAAAGAAAGCCCUUGCGAGAGGUGAAUGGGUUUCUCCCCUGGACUGCCUGCCAUUGCGCUCAUUCCAAGGCCUGUCCUGUGUGUGGCGUAGUGGUACUGCCCCUCACAUUCCCACCAUUCCAGCAUUCCCCUCUUGCCUUCACUUGCCAUUUCACACUGUCACCUGUCACAAGAAUCAAAAAGGAAUCCGACCCAUGCCGUAUUCCUUGGACAUACCAGUAAAUUUCAAUAGUGCUCACCCAUACAUACCUCUGUCUACUUGAGAGGGGUGAGCCUUUUCCUUUUUUUUUUUUAAGUGAGGUGUUUUUCUUUGUUGUUGUUUUUGUUUUUGUGUGUGUGCAAAUAAAGGAAAAUUUAUUCAAAAAAAUCACAGUUCCACCACUUUGAGGAAUGCAAGAAUGACGUUAUGGUAUCACAGUGGAUCGGAAGCUGGGUGCCGGUGUUGUUAGUCCUCCUGUGGGAGCAUGGAGAGUAGGUGCUCCCUCUCUUCUUGGUGCUCUAAUGUUUUCUGUAAGUCUGUAGAAGGAGAUGCUGUGUUGACCAGAACACCUUAAACCUAGAGGCUAAUGAUGAAGUCUCAUUUCCUCGUCUGUAAAGGGGAUACUGAUGGCAUCGACACACCAGGGUAUGGUGGCGAUUCGGUGGCUAGCAUACAAAAUUGUCACCUGGGAGGCGUUUAGUGAACAGUGGGUGCUAUCACAGGUAAGAAACACCAGAGCUGUGCUCAGGACCUGUAGAGAAGUGUUUGACUCCACAGUCUGUGCUGACACUUCUGGGCUCCAAUGCAUUGUAAGCUCGUGUUUGCUCUCAAGUAGAGAACAACCAGCUUUGUGUAGCUGCUUGUGCAUUCUAAGGAUGGUAAGACCAGAUCACAAGCAAUCGAGUCCCAUUAUUAAUGUUAAAUCAUAGCAGCAAUUUCCUUACUAACACAACCCGGCACUGAAGGGCUUUCCGUAGUAGAUGCUGAAUAGUUUUCUUGCAGUGCGUGACUGACACGUUAUUUCCAGUGUGUGCCAGUAGUUAUGAAGUGGCACGAGUCUGUCAAAUGUUAAGCAGCUCAGAAUUCCACACUGAGGACCGAUUGUAAAGGGAAAGGAGUGGAGGCUUGGGGCUGCUGAGGUUUUUGUCUUCAGACUUAAGUGUGGGUGUUAAGUUUGGAGGUAACUGCCUGUCCUAGAGCUGAGCUGAGGUGCCUGCCACCCUCCCCCCAAAACACUGAAUUUGGAGGGACACAAGCUUCUACCAUGUUUUUAAAUUAUUAUUACUAGAUUUUAAAGAACACUGUUUAGCACCUCAUGGGCCAAAGUAGCUGAAACCAGUAGUGGUUUUGUCAAAGCUAAAGAUGACAUCUACAGUUGUCAGUCAUCUAGGAGAGAACAUAGUAGCGAUGCAGUUCAUCCUUUGAUUGUAUGAGCAUUUAUGUUUGCCUUUCAAAUUCCUUGUAUGCUAUGUAUUGCUAAUAUUAUGUACAGCGUAUUUAUUAAAACAUUAAUUGUAAAUGUAAAGUUUGGGUUACUUUGGUGUUCCAAACAAUAAAAAAGUACACAAAAAAUGUUUGUUUGUGUUACCUAUCUGUCCUGUGUUACAAGGAUAUCUAUCCAGAGUGUGUUUCAGACACAAGCUGCCAGGUGGAGUGAACUCCUCUGGGAAGUGAAGUUGCUUCCUGACAUGUGCACUUGUUAAUUAUCAAACGAAGAGAUUGUCACCUUCUCACCUUCCCUGCUUUUGUCACACUGCUGCACAUGGUGAAGUUUACAAAUAAAAUUCUACUUCUGAGAAUAA